UCCCUGGUGGCUCAGAUGGUAAAGCGUCUGCCUGCAAUGCAGGAGACCUGGGUUCGAUCCCUGGAUCGGGAA
rnacentral:tRNA from 1 species